rnacentral:rRNA from 1 species
CCUACGGGAGGCAGCAGUGGGGAAUAUUGGGCAAUGGGCGCAAGCCUGACCCAGCAACGCCGCGUGAAGGAAGAAGGCUUUCGGGUUGUACACUUCUUUUCUGAGGGACGAAGAAAGUGACGGUACCUCAGGAAUAAGCCACGGCUAACUACGUGCCAGCAGCAGAGGUACUACGUAGGUGGCUAACGUUAUCCGGAUGUAUUGGGUGUAAAGGGCGUGUGGGCGGGAAAGCAAGUCAGAUGUGAAAACUCAGGGCUCAACCCUGAGCCUGCAUUUGAAACUGUUUUUCUUGAGUGCUGGAGAGGCAAUCGGAAUUCCUUGUGUAGCGGUGAAAUGCGUAGAUAUACGGAGGAACACCAGUGGCGAAGGCGGAUUGCUGGACAGUAACUGACGCUGAGGCGCGAAAGCGUGGGGAGCAAACAGGAUUAGAUACCCUAGUAGUC